rnacentral:rRNA from 1 species
GGGUUAAGUCCCGCAACGAGCGCAACCCCUAUCUUUAGUUGCCAUCAGGUAAAGCUGGGAACUCUAAAGAAACUGCCGUCGUAAGACGCGAGGAAGGAGGGGAUGAUGUCAAGUCANCAUGGCCUUUAUGCCCAGGGCUACACACGUGCUACAAUGGGGGGUACAAAGGGCUGCCACCUGGUGACAGGGAGCUAAUCCCAAAAAACCUCUCUCAGUUCAGAUUGCAGGCUGCAACUCGCCUGCAUGAAGCUGGAAUCGCUAGUAAUCGUAUAUCAGCAAUGAUACGGUGAAUACGUUCCCGGACCUUGCACACACCGCCCGUCAAGCCAUGGGAGCCGGGUGUACCUAAAGUCGGUAACCGCAAGGAGCUGCCUAGGGUAAAAUCGGUGACU